CGUGCCUAAUACAUGCAAGUCGAGCGAACGGACGAGAAGCUUGCUUCUCUGAUGUUAGCGGCGGACGGGUGAGUAACACGUGGAUAACCUACCUAUAAGACUGGGAUAACUUCGGGAAACCGGAGCUAAUACCGGAUAAUAUUUUGAACCGCAUGGUUCAAAAGUGAAAGACGGUCUUGCUGUCACUUAUAGAUGGAUCCGCGCUGCAUUAGCUAGUUGGUAAGGUAACGGCUUACCAAGGCAACGAUGCAUAGCCGACCUGAGAGGGUGAUCGGCCACACUGGAACUGAGACACGGUCCAGACUCCUACGGGAGGCAGCAGUAGGGAAUCUUCCGCAAUGGGCGAAAGCCUGACGGAGCAACGCCGCGUGAGUGAUGAAGGUCUUCGGAUCGUAAAACUCUGUUAUUAGGGAAGAACAUAUGUGUAAGUAACUGUGCACAUCUUGACGGUACCUAAUCAGAAAGCCACGGCUAACUACGUGCCAGCAGCCGCGGUAAUACGUAGGUGGCAAGCGUUAUCCGGAAUUAUUGGGCGUAAAGCGCGCGUAGGCGGUUUUUUAAGCCUGAUGUGAAAGCCCACGGCUCAACCGUGGAGGGUCAUUGGAAACUGGAAAACUUGAGUGCAGAAGAGGAAAGUGGAAUUCCAUGUGUAGCGGUGAAAUGCGCAGAGAUAUGGAGGAACACCAGUGGCGAAGGCGACUUUCUGGUCUGUAACUGAC
rnacentral:rRNA from 1 species